UACGAAGGGGGCUAGCGUUGUUCGGAAUUACUGGGCGUAAAGGGCGCGUAGGCGGUGUGUCAAGUCAGGCGUGAAAGCCCCGGGCUCAACCUGGGAACCGCGCUUGAGACUGGCACGCUCGAGUUCGGGAGAGGGAUGCAGAAUUCCAGGUGUAGCGGUGAAAUGCGUAGAUAUCUGGAGGAAUACCGGUGGCGAAGGCGGCAUCCUGGACCGGCAUUGACGCUGAGUGAGCGAAAGCCAGGGGAGCAAACGGG
rnacentral:rRNA from 1 species